CAGGCAACAGGCUCUGACACUAAAGGUAGAUUUUCUCUCCCUGUUCUUUUCUUCCGCAAAGCUCAGUGCUCACCCAGCCUCACAGUUUCCAUGAAUCAUGAGACCAAGAUGGAAUCAUGAGGUCAGGAGGCAGGACCAUGCUGCCCUUCGAUGAAGAGGACCAGGCAGAAGUUUUACUGACACAUCUGCCCAGCUACAGGAAUUCCCCCUCCACAACCCAGAGGAUGGAGAAGUGAUGUCCUUAGAAACACAUUUUCCGUGGAAGAUAAGUUCAUAGAAAAGAAUUACAAAACCUACAAGGAAGACCAACAACACUAAAG